rnacentral:rRNA from 1 species
CCUACGGGAGGCAGCAGUGGGGAAUAUUGGACAAUGGGGGCAACCCUGAUCCAGCCAUGCCGCGUGUGUGAAGAAGGCCUUCGGGUUGUAAAGCACUUUUGUUGGGGAAGAAACCGGCCGGGUUAAUACCCUGGUUGAAUGACGGUACCCAAAGAAUAAGCACCGGCUAACUUCGUGCCAGCAGCCGCGGUAAUA